rnacentral:lncRNA from 1 species
UUCUAUCUGGUGGAAAGAUUGCAUGUUCAAAAUUUUAUAUUCUGAUAGUUAUCAAGGAGAAUUCAGUGUGUAAGAUUAAACCUGAUAGUCAUGUUACAGAGUUAAUGUAAGUGCAAGUAUUAUUAUUUGAUAUGAAGCUCUAAUGACUUAUAGAUAGGAUUUCGAAAUUGUGGAUAGAAGUUUAAGAGAUAUUUUAUGCUAUGUAGAUCUAGAAAAUAUAUAUAAAUCUUUUGAAAAAAAGAUGAUAUUUCUUAAUGAAGAUUUUAGACAGAUUCUAUUUGUUAUUUCUAAAGAUCGAAGAGAAGAUUUUAUUUAAGCUUUCAUUAAUAAAUCAUAUUUAUGGAACCACCAUCAUGUUUUCAAACUAUAAAUUAAUAUGCGAUUGAUGAAUAGUGAAGCUUUUAUCACAAAUACCCAAGAUAUUUUUUUUAAUUUAGUAAUUAAAUACUAAAAAUUAGCAGUGGCGAUAUCGAUGAGGGGGACAGGGACUACUUGAUUGAAUUUUCAUCAGAUUUGAUCAUCAUAUUGCAAAAUAAUACAUAUAAUGAUAUAAUCUAAAGUAUUUUUCUGAUUUAAGUUUAAAAUUACUUGAUAGAGAGUAUUUAAAUGAGAGAGAGCUAUUCUUUCACCUAUAAAUAAAAUUAUUGAUGUAAUAAAUAAGAGAAUAUUUUUUUCAAUAUUUGUAAAAAAAAGUUGUUUACUUAAGUAUAGAUUCAAUUUAUAGAACAUCAUUUAACUGUGCAAAAGAAGAUUUUUUAUAUCUUCUCUGAAAUUUUCUAGAUGUUCAAAUCAUAAGUUAAAGUUAAAGGUAGGAAUACUAAUGAUAUUAUUAAGAAAUUUAAAUUAAAGUAAUGAACUUUGUAAUGAUACUAGAUUGGUAAUUAUAAAAUUAUUUUUUAAAAUUAAAAAAUUAAAAUUUUCAGCAGAAGUAACAUUGGUGAUCGUAUGUUUAUUUCAAGAGUAGUCUUAUCUCCAAUCAAAUCUUAGUGGCCUUUCACAUUAAAAUGAAGGCAGUUAUCUCUUUCUGUGUGGUUUACUAUGACUAUUAAUAAAAGUUAAGAUCAAUCACUAAAAUAAGUUGGAAUAUAUUUAUCAAAGCCCAUAUUUAGUCACAAACAGCUAUAUGUUAUAUUAUUUAGAGUGACCAGCAAUAAUGGUUUAAAAGUGUUGAAAAAUAAUGAUGAGCAUUCUAAUAAUUAUCGUUUGAUAAAGAAUAUUAUUUAUAAAGAAUUUUUUUUCAAAUCUACUUACUAUCCUUAAUAUAUAAGGUUUGUAAUUACAUACCAAUAUUUCUAUCUCAAUUUCAUAUUUGUUCUAAUUCUUUUUUUACAUAUUAAUGCACAUUUAUUAUAGAUUCUUAAUCAACUCAAAGAUGUAGUGUAAUUUAUUAAAUGAGUUAACAAAUGAGAGAUAACUGAAAGAUAAAUAUUACAUUGACAAAAUAUGGGAUUCAGUUAACAUAAACAAAUAAUAAUGAGCUUAUAAGUUUAGAUAUAUUCAUUAUUGAUGAAGAGAUAUGUUUUCUCUUUCUAUUUUUAAAUAUUUUUUACUAUUAUAUUUGCUAAAAUUUUCUUAUAAUAAUUAUUAGUACUAUAUUUUUUGAUUUAUUGAUUUAUUAGGAUGAUCAUAUGUAUGUUAUAAUUAGAAAAAGUAUUGUGCAAAAGUUUCAUAUGCUUAUUGAAGAAGGGCAUAUAUAUCUGAUUGCUAAUUUGAAAGUUAUAUACACUGAUGAAAUGUAUCGCCUAAUAAAGAAUGAUAAGAAGAUCUUUUUCUUACUGACCACCAAAUUGAAGAAAAUAUUAAAAUAUAAGAUAUGUCCAUCUGUGCGCAAAUUCUACUUCAUAAAUUAUGAUAAAAUUGUGAAUCAAGUCGAUAAUUAUAUCUAUCUUAGUGGUAAAAAUAAAAACUACUCCUUUAUUUUUCUUAACCUUCUGCUAAUUUUAUUCAACUAAUAAAUAAUUUUUAUGUCUAUAUUUUAUAGAUGUUAUUAGAAAAUUAAUUAUUAUUAGAUCUUUAGACAAUUUUCAUGCUCAAAACUCAAAUGUUAAAAGAAAAAAUUUAGAGCUGUUGAUGCUUGAGUAUGUAUUUUACUUUGUAUAUAGUGUAUGAUUUAUUUAAAUAUAUUAUUUAUCUUUCAAAUUUAAUUUGAUGUUAUUGUAGUGGACUAAAGAUAAAGAUCAUCCUCUAGAGAAAUGCUAUUGAUUAUAUAAAUGAAGUUGAAAUUUUGUAAAGUUUCACUCAUCCAAUUCUAAUUAUAAUAUCAACAAAUGUUAAAAUAUUUUAAGAUAUUCAAAAAAUAUUUUAAAUUUUUUUAAUAUCAAAAUUUUUAUUCUUAAUAUGAAAUUUAUAUUAUAGGUGAGCAUUAUCUUUUCUCUAUGAGUGCAACAAAAAUUUAUGUCAAAUUGGAUAUACUAUAAGUGGAAAGUUUUAAUCAUAGGUACAUUUACUUAUUCAUUAUCUUACUAUGAAAUUACAUAUGACAAACUACUAACUAAAAUUUAUAAUAUUUUUCAGUAAAGAUUUAUCAUGUAUGAAUGAUGUUUAAGAGAUUAUAUUUCAAAGUCAAUUAUAAACUUCUUCUAGCGAUCUAUUAUCUAUUAGAAGGAUGAUAAUAAAAAGAUAAAAUCUAUUGAGUAUGAUUGUCAUGGACAGGUGAUUAAAAUUGUAUAAUACUAAAAUUUCAUUCAUAUGUCAUAUAAAUUUUUUAAUUUAAAAAUUAUAUUUAAAAAUAUAUAAUUAUAAUUAAAUAUUAGAUCAUUUUAUUUAUAGGAGACUAUCGUUAAUUAUGAGGCUUUAAUUAACAAUACUGAAACAAAAUUUGGAUUGUGCUAUAUGGCUUGCCAAGUUUAUCAAAGAAAAGUGAAAUAUACUGGUGUUGGAUUCUGAUGUGAUCGAUGUAAUAUAGAGCCUAAGUAUCUAAUAUCAAAUAUAUUUUUCAUAUUAGUUAAUAAAAAAAAAUUUUAUUUCAUAUUUAAUAUUUAGAAUUUAUUGAUAAAAGAUAAAUAUAUACUUUAGAUCAUGAAACAAAAAAAAAUUAUAUAUUUUAUAAUUUAAUAUCACAUCUCUUACUCAUGUCUAUUACAAUUUUUCAUUUAUUAGUUAUAAUAAAUUUUGGUUUGGUUCUAUUCUUUUCUUUUCUUCAUAUAUCAAUUACAAUUUCAUAUUGAGGAUUAUACUAGAUUUAUAUCAUUUAUUAUUUUCGAUAAAAUUACUCAAUGGUUAAUAGGCAAAUUAGCUAAAGAAUUAUAUAUGAAUAAAGUAUAUGCAAUAUAUAUUUUAUAUUUUAUUCAUCCAAUCGAUUAGUUGAUAAUAUGAAGUUAUGUAUUUUUCUUUGUGCAGAAAGAUGAUGCUUCUAUUAUUCUCUUAAAAAUAAAAAAAAUUAUAGAAAAAAGUUAUAUCAUCUAAAUUAAAGUUGAUGAAUAUAAUCUCAAAGAAGAAGGACAAAACUAUAUUGUUCUUAAAAUAAUUUUCAAUGAUGCAUACAAUGAAUUAGAAAACAAAAAAAAUCCAUUGUGAGUGAUAUGUUUCUAUUCUUUUAUAUAUGGAUGAUUAUAUUUAUAUGUUUUAUUCUAAUAAUUUAUAAUUAAUUUUUUUUUUUGCAGACUGAAGUAAAUGAAGAUGAAAGUCCUGUUAUUGAUAGGACUAUGAAGAAAAGAGAUGAUUUUUGUAUUAGUAUGGGAAGCAAAUAAGUGGUCAUGCUCUACUUAAUGAUGAGUAUUCUGAAACAACUAAUGUUGAAAAUAUUAUUUCAAGAAAUAAUUUUUGUGUUAGCAAAAAAUAAAAGUUAUUAUGUUACUUCUUACUAUAUAUCAUGCUAUUUAAACAAUCUAACUUUAUAUCUUCAUUUAGAAUACUUGAUGCCACCUAUGAUGUCUUUUAUAUUAUGUUGGCUUUUUAAUUUAUAAAUUCUUUAACAUUAGAUGCAUAUGAAAUUAAACAAUUGACUUUCAUCAGGAUUUAUAUGUAGUUUGAAAAAAAAUAUUUAGUCCAAAUUGAUUUAUGUGAGUGGGUGCCAAUAUGCGCGAUCCGGAUGAGAUCCUAGCUCUCUAAGAGCCUCUUGAGCUCCACUAUGGUAAUAGAAAGGAAGAAGAUAAAGCGAGCUCCGGAGGUGAAGAGCAAAGGAAAAAAAAAUGAAUGCUAAUAAGAGAAGAGGACGAUAGUUUAGGAGGAACUAGACAACAAGAGGUCGAUGGAGAAUUUCAAAUUUAGAAAAAAAAAAAAGAAUAGCUUAUGAUCUAUACAAUGCACAAUAUAUUUUUUUAUUAUUUUAAUUAUUUUUAAAAAUAUAUAUAUAUAAUAGAUAUUAAUAAAUUAAUAAAAUAAAAUAUUUUUUUAAAAAUAAAUUGCAUCUUGUGUAUGGCACCGGGUUAUAAGCUAAUAUUAGAUUACUCAUCAUUAGUGAAAGCAUUUAAUUACGUAAUAUAAUGUGUCUAUAUAAUAUAUACAGCCUGCCAACAUGUCACGUGGAUGGCAUCCUUUUAUCAUUAAAUUUUUAAGAAUAAAUUCAUAAUGCUUAGCCACCAUGCUAGCACUGUUUGCAUCCGAAACGGCUGUUCUUAAUGGAAGAAAAACGGCAUUAACUUCAAACCAAUAUUAAUAUUGCCAAUAACAAAAAAAAUCUAAAAAAGAUCUGCAAUUACCAAAUCAUUGCCAAAAAAAAAAAAACUAACAUUAAGCUCCUCUUUUUAAGAACCAUAGAGAUUUUGGGGUUACGGUAAUAAUUCCAUUGAUAAAAGAGAAAAGAAAGAAAAAGAAACUAUACACCUUAUUUAGUGGGUUUAUUAGGAAAACAUGGAAAAGAGACAGCGUCGAUUACCUGGAGGAGAUGGGGUGAAGGGUACGGGCGAAGUCAUUAAUGGCACCGUAGCUGUGAGAGCUGAAGCCUAAGCAACCAAAAUGUCUCUGGCGGUUGGGCAAGAACGUCUUCCACCGUAUCUCCUUCGCCUGCGCCCAGUUCGCCGUGAAGUGCGGCUUAUGUGGUGACGGCACCGGGCCCCUCUGCCGCCCCACCCCAUUCAUUGGCUUCGUCGCGGUCCUCUUCGAAGACCCGUCCGUCGCUAGCGGUGGGUUCUUUGAUGUUGUCUUCUCCUCCUCCUCCGAGACCGUGGUGGUUGGUGAAGGAUUGUUAGAAGAAGUGGCCACGACGGAGGAAGGUCUGGAUUUCUCUGUACGAGGGACGACUUCAAGGUCGAAAAUUUUGAUCCGGAUCUGAUCACGCAUUUGAAACUACCGUAAUUUUUUUUUUUUUUACACACAUGGCAGAUAGAGGCUUUGCCAGAUGCUUCUUUUUAAUAUAUUAUAUAUAUACAUAAUAAAAAAAUUAACAAUUAUAACUAAAAAUAAAAAUUAUAAUAUUUUUUCUCUUUUCUUUUGACUAUUGUCUAAAAAUUAAUUAGUCUUCCAUAGUCAUUCUAUAUCUAAUCCUUUAUAUACUAUUAGGUCUACUCUCACACAUGGUUUGAUCUGAUUUUUACACACAACUAGGUCUAUUUUGUACACAAGCAUUGACUAAAUAUCAGAUGGUAAGCAAAAUCAAGGAACAAUAAUCAAAAGUUUGAUAAAUACAGGCUAAUAUGAGCUAGAGAUCAAUUUAGGGGAUGGACCUCUCUUUCAAAGAAAAAUUUUUUGUGCACCACGAACUAUAUAGAAAAUCCAAUAUGAAACGUACCAUUUUAUAUAAUUGGUCCAUGUAGCCACUGCUUUAUGUCAUAUAUUUUUCAUAAAUGAAUAUUAGAUCUAAUAUUUUGCUAUAGCCACAUAACCUAGUGGUAUAGAUUAGAUAAUAGAUAGUGAAAAAUGCCACCUAAAUACUACUAUUCUAAUUCCCGAUGGUAUGGUAUCAAAAUUUAUUUUUAGAUUACAAAUUGAUUGGGCAAAAAUAUAAUUCCCAUUGAUGGGCCGGAACAAAUCAUAGCCACAUAAAAGCAUUUUCAUAAGUUAUCCAGUCAAAUUUUUCAAAACUAUUACUUAAAACAAAUCAUAUAUCCAAAUUAACUCAUUUAUGAGAAUAUAUAUAUAUAUAUUAAAUAGAUACAAAAAUCAUCAAAACUAUUUUAUCCAGCAAUAUAAACUAUUAUUUCUAAAUUUUUUUAAAAAAUGCACUAUGAAGCAUUAGAUUAUUUACCUCNNNNNNNNNNNNNNNNNNNNACAAAUGACAAUACAUGGAUAAUAUAAUCACCUUACUGAGAUUCUUCGGGACCUAUUAAUCCAAAAACCACAUACAUCUACUAAUCAAUGCUAGGCCAAUAUUUUAAAAUAAUUUUUAAAAUUUUUUUAAAUUUUUUAAAAUUCAAUCCUAGACUACUGACCACUAUAACGAAGAAAAUAGCUCACUAACCUCUUCCUGUUUCCUAUCACAGGGCUGGAGUAGGAAAUGACACAUUAAAGGCCCCCCUGGCAAACUUCCCCAUAGAGAGAGAGAGAGAGUGUGUGUGUGUGUUAGGGAGGGGAGGAGAGAGUAUAAGAGGGAUGGAAGAGAGGUUAUGCCACCCUCUCAUUGAACAACACACAGAUGAGAUAGUAAGAACCUAAGAAGAGAGAGAAAUUAAGCGAGAAAUUAAGAGAGAGAUUAUAAGGAGGGAGAGAAAAUAUAAAGAAGAGGUGAUGGCGGAGGAGGAGAAUGAGAGAGAAGAGAAAGUUGCAUGAGAGGAAAGAGAGGUGGUGGAUCAAUAUGGAUUCGAUCAUGUGUAAGAGGUUGAAACUGAGAGAGCAAGAGAGAAUGAGAGGGAGAGUGGAGAGGAAGGAUUGGAGGCAUGGUGAAACAAAAUAAAAAAGAGAGAAUGCAUUGUGUUAGGAUCUGACGUCUCGAGAUUCGAUCCACAUUGAGCCCAUAGCGAGGUCCGCGACGACGAACGAAGUCCAACGAGCCCAAAAUCACCUCAAAUGGAGUCCGAAUGAAGGAAAUACAUCCGAUUGAAGUUGGCACGAAAUCUGAAGCGAUAGAGGAUCAAUGGCGGUCGGCAGAAUGGUGGUGGCACGGUCGCACAUAGCAGUGCGCGGCCCAGGCAUGGCAGCGCACGGCCCGGACAUGGUGGAGUGCAGCCUAGCACGCAGAGUGCGGCCCAAGCUCGGGUGCACGCGGGGGCACGGCCCAGGCCCACGCGCACGUGCAAGGGGGUUCAGCAGCCUGGAUAGCCUGGUCCACCGUGGAUCAGGCAAUGCAUGGCCAGGUUUGUGGACCGAGGGGGCGUUUCCCCUCGAUUUCUCGUAGUCAUCCACUAUGGAUCGAAUGCCAUUUUUUGCUUGAUUCUCGUGGUCUAUACAUUUUUUCAUAGACCGAUGUGCGAUCGGACAGUUUGGGAUGCUGUCGGUCGUGAUCCAAGGGUUCAGGGAGUUUUUUCGGGUGCUGUAAGGAAACAGUAUCCUAAUCUAAUUGGGUUUUUAAGUCUUUAAGAGGCCUGUACACAGGAAUAGAAGAUUGGGUGGUGGCACGGUUUCGUUCGGAGGAAAACCUAGAGAACAGAGCGAUGAGGCACAGAGAGGAGCAGGAGCAGGGCUUCUGGAUAGCAAACAGCGGUCGCUUCAGGGGUUCAAGGAGAUCUUCCUAGAGAAAAAGUUUUUAUGAGGGAGAGCUUUCUGUGAGGCAGAGAUUGGGUAUACAAGAGUUGAGGGUGUAAUCUCCUCUUGUAUUCUUUCUCUAUUCUCAUAGUGAAGCUUGCAUGCCCCGUGGAGGCGAGCUCCUUUUUGGCUGAUCCACGUACUUGAUUAUUUCUGUUUUAUUUCUUCUUUUUUUCUGCUACGACGAACGGUAUCAAAAAGGUCCUGAGAGGUGGUAUCUUGGCCAGAGUCCACCAUCAAGUGGUAUCAGAGUGAGGCGGUACCAGGAUGUAGAUUGCAGCAGUGGUGAGCAAGAUUGAAGAUGGAGAAGACAGGAUCAAUCAAGAUGGAGAUCAACAAGUUUGAUGGAAAGAGCAAUUUCUCCUUGUGGCAGGCAAGGAUGAAGGACGUGCUCAUCCACCAAGGGUUGAUCGAUGCUCUCUUAUGCGAAGAGAAGCUGACCACUAUAGAGGUGCUGGAUUGAAGACGGCUACAGAUGCAGGCGGUGAGUACCAUCUGCAUGUACCUAACGGAUGAGGUGGUGAUCCAUGUGCUUAGCGAGACUUCUCCGAUGGUGCUGUGGUCGAAACUCAAGGAGUUAUACAUGGUGAAAUUUUUCACCAACACUCUCUUCCUUUGGAGGCAGUUCUACCAACUACAGAUGAUUGAGGGACAGAGCGUGCAGAAGUAUCUCAUCCACUUUCAGAAGAUCCUCACCGACCUCCUUAGCGUUGGCGAGAAAGUUGAGGAGAAGACUAGGGCGCUGGUCUUGCUAGCGUCGCUCCUCCCUUCGUAUGAAUUUUUGGUGACUGCUCUUUUAGUGGAAAAGAGCAUCAUCAAGAUGAACGAGGUCACCGCGGUGAUUCUCCAGAAUGAGGUUCUCAGGAGAAAAAAUUCAGCUUCGAGCUCAGAUGACGGCAGCUCAGCUUUGGUGAUUUCUGAAGGAGCAAGAGGCGGUAGAUGGAGCGACAGGAGAUUGCAACAAGGACAGUCUAAGUCCAGGAUGAGGGAUUUAAGCAAGAUUGGUGUUACCGGUGUGACGAGUUGGGGCAUCUAGCCAGAGAUUGCUCUUAACUCAGGGAUCGGAUUAUGGCUACUGUAGCGACGGCCAGUAGCAAUUCAGAGGAUGAUGUCCUGGAGAUAUUUGAUGAGAUAUCUACUUCUUUCCAGCAGUGAAAUUUAGAUUCUGCAUGCACUUAUCAUGUAUAUUGCAGAGAAGAGCAGUUUGACUCUCUAGAGAGCAGUGAGGGCACUGUUUAUCUGCCAGAUGGAUCGAGUAUGCGAUCAUAGGUAUCGGGACAGUCAGCUGGAGGAUACAUGAUGGUGCAGUGAGGAGAUUGAAGGAGGUCCGAUACAUACCCGAUUUCAGGCAGAAUCUUAUCUCAUUGAGCAGACUGGAUUUGAGAGGCUACAAGAUGGUAUCUGGUGGAGAAAUCUUGAAGGUGCUACGCAGUGAUAGAAUUAUUUUGAAAAAAAAGAAGAGGAUGAAAGGAUAUUACUACCUGAUGGAGAGCACAGUGUGAGGUGGAGUUUUAAGAGCCAGGAGGACCACAGAAUGAGGUAGAGCUCCAGAUGGAGGUGGAUCGGGCACGAGAUGCGAGACUCGAGAGGAUGAAAGGCGAUAUCGUAAGAUGAGAUUUCUAUUACCGCAGGAUGAUACCCCAAGUAGGUCUCAGAUCAGGAGGAGCACAGCAUAUGAUGGAGAUGGAAUCAAACAGUUUGGCUCGACUCCUAUGUCAUCCAUCCAUGAUCAGUAGGCGAUUGCCCCAAGGCAUGAGGGUGAGGAGAUCCAGAAGCUCUUAGAGUUAGGAGGAGGUCGAAUGUCGAGUCGAAGUGAAGAUUGUUAGGAUUUGAUACCUCAAGAUUUGAUCCACAUUGAGCCUACAGUGAGGUCUGCGAUNNNNNNNNNNNNNNNNNNNNAUUCCGCUGUGAUGCAUUGAUAUCGUGAUGAGAUACCUUGCAUGCUUAUGGAGAGAGUUCUUCAUGAGUAUGCGGCGGUUGCCGCGACCCUCGAUUCACAAUCUCGGGUCGGAGGCGUGACAGGUCGCUUCAGGGAUUCAAGAGAAUCUUCCUAGAGAGAGAGCUUUUAUAAGGGAGAGCUUUCUGUGAGGCAGAGAUUGGGUAUACGAGAGUUGAGGGUGUAAUCUCCUCUUGUAUUCUUUCUCUAUUCUCAUAGUGAAGCUUGCAUGCCCCGUAGAGGCGAGCCCCUUUUUAGCUGAUCCACGUACUUGAUUAUUUCUGUUUUAUUUCUUCUUUUUUGCUGCUACGACGUACGGUAUCAAAAAGGUCCUGAGAGAUGGUAUCUUGGCCAGAGUCCACCAUCAAGUAGUAUCAGAGUGAAGCGGUACCAGGAUGUAGAUUGCAGCGGUGGUGAGCAAGAUUGAAGAUGGAGAAGACAGGAUCAAUCAAGAUGGAGAUCAACAAGUUUGAUGGAAAGAGCAAUUUCUCCUUGUGGCAGGCAAGGGUGAAGACGUGCUCAUCCACCAAGGGUUGAUCGAUGCUCUCUUAUGCGAAGAGAAGCUGACCACCAUAGAGGUGCUGGAUUGAAGACGGCUACAGAUGCAGGCGGUGAGUACCAUCUGUAUGUACCUAGCAGAUGAGAUGGUGAUCCAUAUGCUUAGCGAGACUUCUCCGAUGGUGCUGUGGUCGAAACUCGAGGAGUUAUACAUGGUAAAAUUUUUCACCAACACUCUCUUUCUUUGGAGGCAGUUCUACCAACUGCAGAUGAUUGAGGGACAAAGCGUGCAGAAGUAUCUCAUCCACUUCCAGAAGAUCCUCACCGACCUCCUUAGCGUUGGCGAGAAAGUUGAGGAGAAGACCAGGGCGCUGGUCUUGCUAGCGUCGCUCCUCCUUUCGUAUGAAUUUUUGGUGACUGCUCUUUUAGUGGAGAAGAGCAUGACAAGAUGAACGAGGUCACCGCGGUGAUUCUCCAGAAUGAGGUUCUCAGGAGGAAAAAUCCAGCUUCGAGCUCAGAUGACGGCAGCUCAGCUUUGGUGGUUUCUGAAGGAGCAAGAGGCGGUAGAUGGAGCGACAGGAGAUUGCAGCAAGGACAGUCUAAGUCCAGGAUGAGGGAUUUGAGCAAGAUUUGUGUUACCUGUGUGACGAGUUGGGGCAUCUAGCCAGAGAUUGCUCUUAACUCAGGGAUCGGAUUAUGACUACUGUAGAGACGGCCAGUCGCAAUUCAGAGGAUGAUGUUCUGGAGAUAUUUGAUGAGGUAUCUACUUCUUUCCAGCAGUAAAAUUUUGAUUCUGCAUGCACUUAUCAUGUAUAUUGCAGAGAAGAGCAGUUUGACUCUUUGGAGAGCAGUGAGGGCACUGUUUAUCUGCCAGAUGGAUCGAAUGUGCGAUCAUAGGUAACAAGACAGUCAGCUGGAGGAUACAUGAUAGUGCAGUGAGGAGAUUGAAGAAGGUCCGAUAUAUACCUGAUUUCAGGCAGAAUCUUAUCUCACUGAGCAGACUGGAUUUGAGAGGCUACAAGACGGUAUCUGGUGGAGAAAUCUUGAAGGUGCUACGCAGUGAUAGAAUUAUUUUGAAAAAAAAGAAGAGGAUGAAAGGAUAUUACUACCUAACGGAGAGCACAGUGUGAAGUGGAGUUUCAAGAGCCAAGAGGAUCACAGAAUGAGGUAGAGCUCCAGAUGGAGGUGGAUCGGGCACGAGAUGCGAGACUCGAGAGGAUGAAAGGCGAUAUCGUAAGAUGAGAUUUCUAUUACCGCAGGAUGAUACCCCAAGUAGGUCUCAGAUCAGGAGGAGCACAGCAUACGAUGGAGAUGGAAUCGAAUAGCCUGGCUCGACUCCUAUGUCAUCCAUCCAUGAUCAGUAGGCGAUUGCCCCAAGGCAUGAGGGUGAGGAGAUCCAGAAGCUCUUAGAGUUAGGAGGAGGCCGAAUGUCGAGUCGAAGUGGAGAUUGUUAGGAUUUGAUAUCUCAAGAUUCGAUCCAUAUUGAGCCAAUAAUAAGGUCCGUGAUNNNNNNNNNNNNNNNNNNNNGACGAACGGAGUCCAAUGAGCCCAAGAUCAUCUCAAAUGGAGUCUGGAUGAAGGAGAUACGUCCGAUUGAAGUUGGCACAAACUUCGGAGUGAUGGAGGACCGACCGUGGCCGGCAAAGCGAUGGUGGCGCGGCCGCACACUGCAGCGCACUGCCCAAGUGCGGCAGCAUGCAGCCCGGGUGCUACGGAGCGCGGCCCAAGCCCGGGCACAGUGUGUGGGCGCGGCCUAGGCCCAGGCACGCGCGCGGGGGCACAGCCCAGGCACACGCGCAUGCGUGUGGGGUUCAGCGGCCCGAAUAGCCCGAUCCAUCGUAGACCAAGUGGUGCAUGGCUGGGCUUGUGGACCGAGGGGGUGUUUCCCCUCAGUUUUUCACGGUCCACCAUGGAUCGGACGUCAUUUUUCACUCGAUUCUCACGAUCUAUGUGUAUUCUCGUGGAUCAAUGUGCGAUCGGGUAGUCUGGGAUGCUAUCGGUCAUGAUCCAAGGGUCGAGGAAGUUUUUUCGGAUGCUGUAAGGAAACAGUAUCCUAAUCUAAUUGGGUUUUUAAGCCUUUAAGAGGCCUGUACAUAGGAACAGAGGAUUGGGUGGUAGCACAGUUUCGUUCAGAGGAAAACCCAAAGAACAAAGCGACAAGAUGCAGAGAGGAGCAGGAGCAGGGCGCUUCUGGAUAGCGGACAGCAGACAGCCAUCACUUCAGAGGUUUAGGGGGUCUUCCUAGAGAGAAAGCUUUUGUGAGGCAGAGCUUCCCGUGAGGCAGAGAUUGGAUAUACAAGGAUUGAGGGUAUGAUCUCCUCUUGUAUUCUUUCUCUUUUCUCAUAGUGAAGUUUGCAUGUCCUAUGGAGGUAAGUCUUUUUUUGGCUGAUCCACGUAUUUGAUUGUUUCUAUUUUAUUUCUUCUUUCUUCUUGCUGCGACGCACGGUAUCGAAAAAAUUCUGAGAGGUGGUGUUCUGGUCAGAGAUCCACCAUCACAUUGUCGUUGGCAUGAAAGAAAUGAGGUGGUGUUCUGUCUCAACNNNNNNNNNNNNNNNNNNNNNNNNNNNNNNNNNNNNNNNNNNNNNNNNNNNNNNNNNNNNNNNNNNNNNNNNNNNNNNNNNNNNNNNNNNNNNNNNNNNNNNNNNNNNNNNNNNNNNNNNNNNNNNNNNNNNNNNNNNNNNNNNNNNNNNNNNNNNNNNNNNNNNNNNNNNNNNNNNNNNNNNNNNNNNNNNNNNNNNNNNNNNNNNNNNNNNNNNNNNNNNNNNNNNNNNNNNNNNNNNNNNNNNNNNNNNNNNNNNNNNNNNNNNNNNNAGAGCAUACCUCUCUUUUUUAUCCACAAAAAUAAAAAUAGCACCAUCUUAACAAGUGGACCCUAAUACUAGAUGGGCCUAGGGUGGCUCAAAAAUUAUAUCAAAUUAUCAUAUUUUGUAUGAAAAGUGGAUAAAAAAUAAUAAAAUAAAUGAUAGAUUUUAUAUCUAUUUUUUUUAGAGAGAAGAUAAAAUAAGAACUAUUAAAGAGAUUGUAUUUAUUUUUUCAUGCUAGAUUACCGAGUGGAGGUAGCUAAACAUGUCAUUUCUUGAUGGAAAUAUCCUCACUUAUAUUAUAUUAAUAUAUAUUAAUUAUAUUACAUAAUUAUUAAAAAUUAUAGUAAUAUAUUAUAAAUAUAUGAAUAUAUUGAUCAAUAAUAAUAUAUUUCAUAUAGUAAUAUAUUUAUUAAUAAAUAUUAAUUAUUAGUAAAUAAUUAGUGAAUAUUUAUUAAUUAUUAAUAAAUCUAAUAGAGGAUCUAUUAAUGAUUGAUAUAUUUAGUUAUAUAACAAAACAUGCAAAAAUUUAUUUAUAAAAAUAAAUAUGUUUCCUAAUAUAUAUAUAUAUAUAUAUAAUUUAAAAAUAUUCAUUAACUCAUACAAAUAUAUUUCAAUAUUUGAAAUAACCAACAUUGAGAGCAUUUAUGUAAGUGCACUAUAAAGGGCCAACAAAUGGACUGAAAAAAGAUUAUUAGUACUUAAAUUAUUUAUUCAAAAAUAUUGUUAAAAAUUUAGCAAUAUUCCUAUGUAUAUUACCUCUAAUCAAAUAUAAUAAAUUUUUUUCUGACACAUAUUUUUAGGAUAAUUUUUCUAUCAAUCAAACAUGAAAAAAGAUUUAUUUUCCUCCCCUAUUAGUUUAAAUAAAUAAUUCUCAUAAAUUAUUAUCCAACCAAACGAAUCCUAGAGGUUUUAUGAUGUUAGCCUAAGUUCACGGUCACCAAGAUAGAACUAGAUUUUUAUUUAGCAUCGCCGUGUAGGACUGUAGGCCUGCAAAUGGGUCAGGUCGGAUCAGAUCCUGAGUGAUCCCGAUCUGAUUCGAUUUUUUGAUCGGAUCUUGAUAUUGGAUCCAUAUCCAUCCUAAAAAAAAAUCGGAUCGGAUCGGGUUGGUUCUAUGAUUGAAUUUAUUGACAUAUUGGAUCAUUUGGGUUGAAUCGGAUCCAUAUAUAACCCGACCCCAAUCUAUGAAAUACGGGUCCUGUUCAGAUCAGGUCAGGUUACGGAUUUAAUUUUUUUGAAACCUACCAUCAGUGAAUACUAAUGCUGGAUGACAACUAAGAAAUGCCUUUUUUUUUUCAUAAAAUCCUCCAACUGUAGUUUCUAAUAAUUAAUUGUAUUGGAUAGCAGAGGGAAACAAGUGGUUUUGAGAAGAGUCAAGACUUCAAAAAUCCACACAAAAGAAUAAAAAUAAAAAUAAAAAUAAUAUGAAUUUUACAUAAUUAUAUAAUUAUCCCAAUCUAAAAUAUCAUACAGAGAGAAUACUUGUACAUGGUUAAAAAUAAGACUAAAUAUAUUAUGGAUGACACAAUUUUUGUGCAACAUUAGAGCACACUCCGAAAUUUCUUAAAGUCAACAAAAUAAAGUUAGAAUUCAAGAAACCCUCUUGCUUUUGUACCUCAUGGCAUAGUAAACAUAAAUCAGAAGGUUUAGAAAAUUGAGUCUAGCAAAAAGUCAGAAGAAGUAAUCGAGAUGCCCUUCAUUCAAGUUAUUAGAAAUCCAUCCAAUCUUUCCUCAGAUUGUUACAGAUGUUACAACAGUCAGAAUAAAAGAACUGAAGGGUUUGAAAAAUUUUUAGUUUUAAAAAUUUUUAGUUUGGAAAUCGGAUGGAGAAGAUCGAAGGGUUUGAAAAAUUUUUACGCAAGUCCAAACUCCUAUUUGGGUGAGUCACUCUAACCGGGUUCGGAUCAUAUAUUUGGAUCCGGAUCGGACCAGAUCGGAUCAUGUAUCUUAAGAUCUAAAUUAACUCAAAAAUCUUCAUGGACCGGAUCGGGUCAGAUCAGGUCCAAAUUUAGAAAAUCCAAAGCCAAGUCGGAAAAGAAAACAGAUCCAAUUUUUGAAUCCGAUCCGACUCCAUGGAUCUUUUAAAUGGGUUCGGAUCGGAUCGGAUCAAAUCGGAUUGGAUCAUAAAUCAACCCNNNNNNNNNNNNNNNNNNNNGAUCUAUUUGCAUCCUUAUGCAAGAGCCACCGUGAUGUAAUUCAUGCCUUCAGCACCAAAGAAAAUUUCACACAACCAUUAAACAAGUCCACAAUUGUUCAUCGGGUUUCUAUGACUAGGUCUCAAAUCAAAUUGGUCAGGAAAUGGACACCAUAGGAAUAGGAUGCGCUUUCUUUGUGUUUGAUAGAAGUUGGUGUGCCAUCCGUCUAGAACUCGAGGAGAUCGAUAAUUCCAAGUACGUCUGCACUGGAAGUUGACCUUCUUUUAUGUAUCCCUCCUUGCUAUGGGAUCUAAUGUUCACAUCUUGUGGUAAAUUUUUUAACCCCUGGUUUUAAAACAAAAAAAAAAAAAAAGCGUCAAGUAAUAUUAUAAUGAAUUUUACUAUCCGUCCGCAUUUUAAUACACGUUAAGGUGUCGGAUUAGUUUCAAAUCACAUUUUCUUUUUUUAAGAAAAUUUCAAAUUACAUUAUCAUGCAAGUGCCCCAGUAGGCCAUGCUACUCGCUAUCCCCGGUCUUUUCAUCACCUUCCACCUCUGAAUGUCUCUCUCCUUUGGUCCCUUCUUUCUCCUUCUCCUUCUCCUUCUUCUCCUUCUUCUCCUUCUUCUUCUCCUUCUUCUCCUUAUUCUUCUCAUGACUCUCCUGAUCGCUGUCUUCAUGCUCGUCCACAUAGUCCGAGAUGACUAUAUGAACACCCGGGUCCUCCGCCUUGAAGCUCCCACCGAGAAGGAUCGAGUUGUUGACAGCCUGAUAGUUGCUGUUGGUGUAGGCACUCAUCGCUGUCUCAUCAUCGUGCAGAGCUCCAUGGGUGUCCAUCAUCUCCUCCAAGUUCGCCUUCAUCGUGGCUCCCUUGUUGUCCCCCGCUAGUGUGAUGAUCCUCACCCCGUGAUCGGCCUCCUCGUUCUCCUGACCGGGCCGGGCAGUGGACCUGCCGAGGGCUGUGAGCUGGUGAGUGAGCUUUGAGAUCAUGUCACGGAUCUCACGCUCCAUACGGCGCUGGCUCUGCUCAUCGGCGUUCGCAUUGGUAACCAUGGUAGUUUGGUUGUGGGAGAGGGAGAGAAUGGAUUGGAAGUGCUUGAGAAUGGAACGGUGCUUAUAAGAAGAAUGUAACUUGCAUGGGAGGAAAAGGGACGGAACUAAUUCCAGUUAUCAGGGUGGAGGCAAGGGAUCACGUCACGCUUUAGGUUUCUCCGACGUACAUUAUUCUCUUUCUGAGUUCGGACUUACGACACGGCGAACAAGCGAAGGAUAAGAGACUCGCUGGACUGGGUCUGGGCUCAAGGAUUGAGAUCAAAGGGAAUUCACACUUUAGUUCUUCUGACCAUCAAAAGUCCAGCCCAGGUCAGUCCAGUGAUCGCCCUUCUAACGGGUAGGUUUGGACCAGGUUUCAGAAUUUUCCCCUAGCUUUACCCCAUUCUAAUGUAAAUCAUGAAGCCCAUUUUGAAAAGUCGCAUCACUUCAUUAGUGUGUACGGAAUCCAUAUAUGCAGGGUUUUGAAAUUGGCGACCGAUCGUCGUAGUUAUAAGGAUUACAAAAAGGAAAACAAAUUCUAGCCCAAUGGAUUUUUUUCCCUUUUUUUUGGGUAAAAAAGCACAAUGGAUUUUCAGAUUGGUUGUAUCGAACGGUGAGGGCGUGUUUGGAUGAUCCAAUACGCUGUUUAUUGGAACAUACUCCAUCGUUCAUUCAUCUGCACAGCUCGCAAAGUGAUCAGUGGGUCUAUGUUCAUGAAAAAAAGGUAUAUAUUUUUUGACAAAUUAAAUUAUUAAUUUAUUUUUAAAUAAAUAUAUCCGUAGCUCUUUGAAAAUAAAAUAUCCAACAAAUUUUGCCGAUCAUAAAGUAGAUGUUGAACGGUUAAAAUCCAGCCUGCAGCACUUUUAGCCCGACUGCGUGGCAUAUCUUUCUUUCGCGCAAAGGAUGCAGCCACGAUCCGAGAGAGAGAGAGAGAGAGUUGAGAUCGUCCACAGCUCCGGCGGUGGUUCCAGCUUCGUCGGUGAGAAACCCCCACCAUCCCUCCCCUUUCUUUUCACUUGUGAACAACUUAAGCGGCUCUCUUCUUUUCCUUGAUAUUUAGAAAUUCCCCGCAGUCUCUUUAUUCGAUUUCAGCUUUCCGUGGAUCAUAAAAAUUUUUCUCCAAAUCCAUGUCAUAAUGAAAAAGAUUUGAUCUUUGUGGGGUUACCCGGCUUCUCCGCUGGGGAAUUUUGACCCACUUGGAUUGUGUUUCUUUAUUGGCUUAAGGAGAGGCAUUUUAUUAGUGGGUUGGCGGGAUUGCAGGGGCCCGGCCUCCUAUGGAUUUGUUUUUGGCGGGUUUUGUUUGCUAACUUAAGAUUUUUUUUUCCCCCCUCGUUUUUAAACAUCUCUGUUUUCCCAAUCCUUUAUUACCAUUGACAGCAUUUAACAGGGUGAGGGUUUAUCAAUAAUGUUAGCUGACUAAUUUGUGAAAAGGCACUGUUUGCUUGUUAAUGGCAGAAGUCCAGGUGGUGUUUCACUUACUUGUUCUGUUUUCUGAAACAGAACACGUCUGUUCUGUUUUCUGAAAGCUCUCUUACCAUGAGAGAUUGUUCCUACAGUAAGUAUUACCAACAAUCUGCUGAAGUAUUGAGCUAGUAUACAUCAAUACAAUCUUGCGAUGUUUACAUUUUUUGAGCAAGAUGAAAUGAAUAUGAAUAUAAUGCUGUGACAGAAUAAUCGACUACCAAAAAGUAAAGAGUUUGCUUGAAAUUUUCCAAACUUCUCUGCCGUUUGCAGGCAAAGUAUGUAAAUCAUGACUCUCUACUUAAUAUUUUGUGAUGUUUAGAAAUUUAUUGUUAGAUUUAGAGAUGAGAAAUCUUCCCUGCAAUGUGUGAUACAAAAUUAUACUCACAUAAUGGUACAGUUUGUCAUAUACAUUGAUAAACUUGAUCUAGUUAUAUUUCCAUCUGAAGAUAGAAAAGAGGGAGAGAGAAUAUUCUUAAAUUCUUAAUUUGUCAUCAUCCAAGAACUAUUUUAUCUUUUUGUUUGAUUUAGAAGUUAGAUUAUCCUUCAGCACCUGAGACCUUACUUUCCUAUGGCAUAUCAUUAUUUUAUUUUUAUAUUUUAAAUAGAACAAGUUUUGACCAAUAAAUUUGGUACCAUUUGUUGCUCUAUCAAGUAUACAUUUUCCUAUGUUCUCUAAGAUUCAGAUAUCUUAGAGAAUGGGUAUCUUUACAUACAUUGGAUGGAUUAUUAGAUUUGUAUCACUAUUUGUACUUCAUUGAUAAGAAUCUUUCUGCUUUUGCUGAAACAAUGGUGCCAUCAUUUUGUCAACAUUGAAGUUCCUUGAGAAGGUGACUUAAAAUGUCUCUAUACCGAAAAGCUAGCAGUUACUUUACAAAUAACAUAUUAUGAAUAAAGAAAAAACUUUUCUUUUUGGUGUUUUGAACAUUCUUAGAAGAAACUAUGAAUAAACUAUUCUCAGAAACAUAGAAAAACAUUAUUUCCAAAUGUAGCAUCACCUUGUCGUUGCAGUUACCUAAUUGAAGUACGACUAAACAAAAAAAUGUGUUUUUAAUAUAGAAGAAAAUAUGAUGAACCAUUUUUGGAAACACAAAGAUUAGUCCAAAAUUAGCUCUUCAACACCUAUAGCUGUUGACAUUUCAAUAUUUUAUGUCAAUCAAAUCACAUCUGAAUAAUUGAUUAGACAUCUUUUUAUACAAAGCAAUAUAUUUAAAUGUUACAUUGUUACUUUUCUUAACACUUGGACCUAGGAAUCUGAUAGACCAUUUGUGGGCAAGUUAUAUAUAUUAUGUUCGCCGAUGUGUAAGAUAUGUAUACCAUUGAUCUAGCAAUGGAUCAGUUAAAAAGUUAGGGGUUGAGAAGGGAAAGGAUUUAGGGAUCCAUAGUUUUCAUAUAGUUAUUAUGGAUGUAUUGGAAUAGGAAGGAAAAUAAAAUGGAAGACUGCAAGUUGCUGAUAUUAAGAUUUUUGUAAUUUUUUGACUAAUAGCAUUAAAAGUAUAGGUGUGAAGGAGUGACAAUUAAUUUCUUGCAGUGAGAUAUAUGGAGAAGUAGUUUAGGAUUGAAAUAUUUUGGAUGUGAGGUCAUAAAUUAAAUUUGCUUCCAAAAGCUAUAUUUUGAAUGGUAUCUAUUAAAAGUGGAAAGUGGAAGGAAUAGGAGAACUGAAACUACUUAACAGUAUAGCGUUCCUAAAUAUAUUGGACUAUGUAACACUAAGUUUGAUAUUAAGUUUUUUUGGACUUUUUGAAAGUUAGUACAAAAACUAGUUUGAUAUUAAAAAUUUUGACAGAACAAAUUAAAUCAAUGCUACAGUUUUUGAUUUUGCUUAGGUCAGAACUUUCUGGACAUUUGACCUUAGCUCAAUUCAUGGUGCACUUGGUGCAACAUCAGCUUUCUUUCAUUUGGAAAGAACUCAGCCUUAGGAUUGCUUAAGUAGGAUUUUUGACCAAUGACAUUUCCUUGACCAUCUACUCAAAGAAGAAGUUGUUGUAAUCUGAUCAACAAUUGAUAUAAGAUGCCACAAAUAGAAAUGAGAUCUCCUAUGAGAUGCCAUCCAGAGUAAGCUGAAGAUAAAGGCCAGCAUAUUAAAAUCUUCGUAUUUUUUUUUGUAUAAAAUGGAAUCCAAUGAAAUGAACCUGGUGCUUCUAUUAGAAUCUUCAUAUUGAAAUGAUAGAAAGAAUCUAAAUUAUGGAAUUAAAGAUAUUUAAUCCCUAGCUACUAUAUUUCUUUUUUGUUGGAUGAGAGAUUUAAUUCUUGUUUUGAAGGAGCACUAGGAUUUUGUGGAUAAUAUGGAAGUGGAUCUAGAGCCAGAUUAUGUACUUCAAAAUUCAGAUAGGUGCAACCUUGGAAAAGAGGGAGGUUGAAAAAUGAAAAUAAAGAGCGUUGUCUUCAUUGAAAAGUAGCAAGCCCUGCUUAAAAAUCGUUACUUUCUUUGAACAAUAUAACUAAUUUGUGUUUUUUAUGUGAUCCGCAAUUUUUAAACGCCUGGUCAUUGGGAAGAAAUUUCAGUUAUCUCUUGUUUGAUUGAAGAAUCAGAAAGAAGUUGUGGAGAAAUUGGCGAGGAUAUGAUUGAGAUGUUUUGAUUUGCUUGACUUUGUCUCUUCGGUGUCAAUAUUGCUACCUAAAAUGGAGGAAAGAAUUAAGGCCUCUUUAAGAAUCUUUUGGCCCUUUAUGUCUUUCCUAUUAUUUUAUCAUGAGUUUUUUUUUUAUUCUCAGAUAUAUUUUCUAAUGUUAAUUCUCAAACAAACAAAAAGAUGAUUCACAUUGGAAAUUUUAUUUCUUUAUUUUAAUGUAAAAAAGGAUAUUUUGCCCCCAUGCAGGUUCAAACUACAGACCUUCAGUUUACAAGACUGACGCUCUACCACUGAGCUAUAGGGGCAUUAGUUUUAAUUAUGUACCUAUCAUCCAACAAUUACAUCAAAGCCUAAAAGGAAAAUAGCACAAAUUAUUGGUUUUAGUUUAUUCUAGUAUUCCAUUGGUUUUUUAAAGUCCUUGUAUAUCAAUUCAAAUGGAUUUGUAGUAGUAUCUUGAAGAUAGGUUUACUAUUAUAUAUUUGUUCAUGUUUGUUCCUAAGAGUUUUGGUGGGCUUAAUUUUAGAUCCUGGAUCUUGCUUCAGUAGCUAAUGUUAAGAUUCAAUUACAUGGUAGAUUACCUGUGGUUAUAGAAGAUGACCACUUAUGUAUCAUCUGUACACUGUGCUGCGAAAAUUAUUAGGAUGUAUGUGUUUCAUUUCAACUUGUAUUGACUCUCUGUGAAGCAUCUUGUUGUUAGCUUUGGGCACUGCUGAGAAAUCAGCCUUGCCUGGCAAGAACCUUGUAGCCAAGGGGCUUGUCUUUUUAAUGAUCAAUAUUUAAUAUUAGAACUGGAGUAAUGUUGACAUGCUGGGUAGUUUCACAUGUCUUGGUGUAAUAUGCCCAAGUUCAGUAUAAUCUAAUCGGACAUUCAGAGAUCAGCAAUGAAAAUUUUUAACAUGUGCUUUUUCAUGGUAUUGAUCUUUUCUUUUAUGAGAUUAUUUUGUUAUCAGUAACAAAAUUCGAGUAACUAGAGUUUCUUGCAGGUGGAAGCAGAAACUCCAAUUAAAUUCAAGUACAUUGUGAUGCCUUCAGCUGCUAGUGAAUGUACAAGUUUCAGCAAUUAGGUGGUUCUUCCCUCUUCCCAAGCUGAAAUUACAUGAAAACAAGCAACUCUGCAUUAAAUGAACACAUAAAUAAAUAGCAAUGUGAUGCUGAAUUCUGUGAGAAAAUCACAGUGUGCGCGAGAUGUGCUCAAAGAAAUCCACAGAACAAUGGACCAAAAUGUGGUAUCUUCCAAACACCAAACAAAUAUUUUCCUGUCUCAAAGAUAUUUGGGUAUGGCAAGACCACCAUUGUAUAAUCUUUCAGCAAUCAUAAUGUAUUCCUGCAAUGGGAGUUCAACUUGGAACUUUCAUAAGAAAUGACCAGCUUUAAGUUUUAAUUGUGUAUGCCAAAGGUGCACAAAUGAGUGUGGCAUGAGAUUGUGUGCGGGUCCAACCAACAGUAGAAGAGUCUUAAUCGACCAAAGAAGCAUUCCAUUGGGUAAUUUUCCAAAAAAAGGGUAGUGCAUUCCUUUUGAAAAGAUGUUUUACUUAUAUGAAUUGCUGUGAGUCAAGAAUUCCCAUUAUGGUUAAAUACUAUGUUCCAAUUGCAUGACUCCCCAAACUCCCCAUUUUUUUGGUCAAAUGUAGAUUGAAAUAUAAAUUAUGCCGGAUAACAUGUCAGAGCAUCCUACCAAGACCUUAAUGUUAUCAAUCUCUGGCUCUCUGCAUAUUUGUAGAAGAAUUAGAGGACUCAUAUUGCUGGCCUGAAGUGGAUGCUGUCAAGCUUGUUGCUUGUGGCUAUGCUUAAAUUUAUAAGGCUUAAAUUGGAUAGAAGCAAGCACAUCAUUGUCAAUGUAUAUUAAGGCAAAAGGAUUUUAAAUUUUUUUCUAUUUUUGUUAUUUUUAUCAUAAUUUCAUCAAAAGAGAUAAUUUAGUAAAAUAUUUUCUUUAUCAUGUUGAAUAUUUAACAUAUAUUUCAUAAAUUUACACGACAUUUUUUAUUUUCCUUUUAGUUUAUUCUGUUAAAUUAUGAUACUACAAUUCUCUAUCUUCUUGAAAUGGUACAUCUUUAUAUCUAACUAAAAUCAGGUGUGUGUCAAUGCAUAUUAAACUGUGGUAAGAUUCAGUUUCAUUUGCAGACUAUGUUUUGACCAGCACCAAAUCAAACAGCAAGUUGAUAUCAUUUGUUUGCAUUUGGAUGGGUGGAACUUGUAAUUUUCCUGAUUAUUUUAUAAAAUGCAGGAGGCUGCUCCCCAUCUUAGCUUGCACGUGGAAAUUUUUGUUUCAGAGUGUAGAGAAUAUGAAGGGGUUCAUAGGGAAAUUUUUGCAUGGAAACCUUGUUAGUGUUGGAAACCUGAUUUCAGUUGGUGCCUUCCAGUUAACAUUGCAUCUCCUGUUCACGUUAGCUGGAGAUGAAAUAUGGGCUGCUGCUGAUCCCUAAAACUAUGGCUACCCUGCAUGAUAAACAUAGUUGCAAUGAAGGCUUUCUUGCAGCAUGCGCUCACACAGUCUACUGAUGAACUAUGACAAGAUAAUAGCUGUUUGAGAAACUUUAAUUUUCAGAAAAUGGAACUUUGUACAAAGUUUUGAGCUUAUGUUUUCUUCUAUUGUUUCCAAAUGUAAUAAAAAAAUCAUUUGCAGUAAUUGAUUUUUACAUAUAUUUUGCCAUUAAACAAUUGCAGCAUUGUAUAAAUCUAUUUUCCUUUGCAUUUGACACCUUGCUGCUAGCCAGGCCAAGAGAGUACACAAUUUUCUGAAGACACUGAGGGAGAUCAAAAAACAAAGCCCUCCAUAAACUACCAUAUUCAGAAACCCACCUUGUGGAGCAUUGAACAUCAGGGUAAUGGAGUCGCUUGCAAUCAAUAGCCAACAAAUGACUUCCAGGAUUGACUUGAUCAAUAAACUCAACUUUUCUUCCCCAUUUAUCUUGCACAAAAUUCUUGAAAACAAUACACUGAUGAUUGACAUUGUAGUCUUCGACCAUCCUCUAUAUGAGAUUAGACUCCCUCCAACUACCAAAGCAUUUUUCCGGCACACACAGGUUGCACACUCACCAGAGAAGGUAGAUUCUGUCAGAGCUUCAAAACCUGUGUAGUAAGGCAGGAUGAUAUUAUCCAGGUAUGAACUUGCAUGUAAAAUUCCUGAGACAGUUGAAGCUUCAAGUACAGCAUAGUGCAAAUCUUUUUCAGUUUGGUUUUUAAAUGCAAGAGCUGAAAUAUAAACAAGCUGGAGAAUUGCUGGGCCCAUGUGUGAGAGAGGGAAAAUGGUGUUGAUCCGGUGCCCCUUUGCAAAAAUCAAGAGCACCAAUGGGAGUGCUAUAGGACCUGAAGGUAAUAGAUAUCUUCUCUUCAAAUUGCUAAUGCUGAUGCUUGUGUUUCUUCUGAACCCCAUUAGGGUGAAGGCUGUGGUUGACAGGAAGGAGGAAACUGCAAAGAGGAGCACUAACGAGUCCACAAUGGAUGGGUAGUCUCCAGGGUAAGUGCUGUCGCAGAAGUAGUGGUAUGGACAAUAGAUGAAGUCUGCGGUUCCUUCAAGCUGCCAUCUAGUGCAUUUGAAGAAUGUUUUUGUGAUGUUCUCCAUAUCCCAUUCAUGAUCAAUUUGGGACUCUGGUAGCAUGGCCAACCCGUCCAUCAAAUCUAGAUGCAUCUUCUGCUCCUUUUGCUUCAUCCAUUCUCUAAAGCUGUGCUAGUAGGUAUUAUACCUGCUCUGAGCUUCUUUUUGUUGGUUGUGAUGGUGUUGUUACUUGUGGCCUUAGGGAACCAGAUGGGGAAGGUCCAACUGAUUUCUUGAAGAUGACAUAUGUGCCCCUCGUCCUUUUAUUGGAUAAAGAGUGCUUCCUCAACAAUAGUCAGGUGUUUUGGUCACAUCAAGUAUUCAGGGGCAAGGUUCAGAGACAUGGUAGGUGAGUUCUGAGAAUAUAAAGGCUGGUGACUUGGUUUUUAAGGGAUGGGACUUCUUGACUAAUGGAAGAGUUAGGAGGACAGCUACGGUUGUGACUGCUUAACAGUUUGUUUAAAUUUUUUGUAGAGUUUAGUAGGGUGAUUAUAUAUUUAAUGCUAAUCUCAGUCUCAAGCUUGUUGGGAGUCCAAUGUUCUAAUUGUUUAUUUGUACCAUGUGGGAUUCCUUUUUGAUUUUUAAAAGUGGUGCAAUUAUUUGGUAGGUACUAAUCCAGGUGCAAGUUUAAGUUGAAGAAAGGUGCGGUGUCCCUGUCUGCUACCUUGUUCUGGUUCAUGGGCAUGGUCAUAUUUCAGGAGACAGGAUAUCCACAUUUAAAAUCCAAAACAAGCCUCCUGACCAUGGAAAUCAUCAAAGGAGUUCGAUACAUUGAAUCAGCACAUAGCAAUCAGGAAGUAUAGUGGGAUGUUAUUGAUCUAAUCAUUACCGGAGGUUGUUGCCUCACUAAUUUAUGAAGUUUGCACAAAUAAUUGUAAAAUUGCUGCAUUACUGCAGGGAUGUUAAUGGUGUGGCUUCCCUGAAAAUUCCUUACUUCCUCUCUUAUCAGGUUUUGCAAUGAGUAGUGAAGACAAGAAGUUCUCAGCUAAUCAGAAGGGCAUUCGUUCCCUCACUGAAUUGCUGCCAUGACAGCUAAGGGAGCUAAGGACUCUGAGAUGUUAACUCUAAUAUAAUCCACUUGAAAAUGGUGAGGGCAAAUCAUAUAGUCUUCCAUAAAGCCAGGGUUGGCAUGCAAUUUGUAAGUGGCAGUCCACCAGAUUGAGUCUACCACUGCAGUGCAUGACACCUGACACUUCAACCUUCAGCUCCAAUUGAUAUAAUGUUAUGUGCUUGAACCAUUUUAGCAGUCUCUGCUUUCCUUCAAUGCAUCUCAUUUGGCUAUUUUGAAGGAACUGUGUGAAUUGGGCAUUGCCCUAGCAUUCACACCCCUCCACAUAACAAGAGGUUCCAUGCUCAAGCCCUGGAUGAUGUAUCUCGAGGUUUUCGAAUCAAGAUAAUUUCAAAUACAGAGUAGAUGUUCUUAUAUUGCUUAACGUAUUAUGAAAUGAUUUUGGCUAAAUUUGAUGCUUUUUGUAUUGUGCAGCUAUCUUGAUAGGAGAAAAUGCCUUUUCUCUUGGUGAGUUACAAUUCUUUUGUUUUUGAUAUAUUUUAACUGACAUAUGCCUUUUUGGCAUAUAAAGGCUUUGUUUUAUCUUCUUAGCAAUAUUAGGGCAAGAUAAAUGAAAUGGAUAAAGCUAGGUGCUUCAAAUUGCUAGGUAAAAGAAAUAAAAUUCUAGUAUAUAAUUUUAGCAUGGACAAAGAUGAAGGGCUAAUGGAGACCUUUUUUCUUUUUUUUUUUUUGGUGGGUUUGGGGGAGUGGUAAAACAAAGACGAAAGAUAUAGAAGAACUGAAACUCUGAAAGUGAUCGCAUUAGUUGAGAAGUUGGUGGCACAGAUGGUACGGACUGUUUGAUUAGUUGGUAUCAGAGGGUUAAGAAAUAGAUAAUAAGGACUUAAAAGUUAUAUAAAGUUGACAUUGUGAGAAACUGAUAUACAAAAUAAACAAUGUCAACCUCAUACUAUCAUGCAGUACUGAUCCACCGGCCACAUUUAUCCAAGAAUGGUGCAGAUACCAUGUAAGAUAAGAAGUAAACUUCUGAUGACCAUACGUUCAAGAGCAACAUCAUGGUGGUGUAACAAAAAGAGAAACCUACCCCGAUUCUAUCAGCAACAUGAACAUAUACUAAGAAAUGCAUCAGCAAUGAAGUGGUGAACAUCUGAUGCAUUGAGAACCACGUUGCAGUAAACCAGCUCCUCCAUCUCCUGCCAGUCUCUCACACCCACAUCCUGAAUCAUCUCAAGUAUUGACUCCCUGAAAUCAGUUAAAGGAUCGAUGGAGCACUCGACAGCACAGAUGCUCUCUGCGAACACGCCACGAACAUCGGCGGGCAGGCUUGCCGAGAAGCUAAGGUUCAUGGAGGAACAUCUCCUGGCAUUUCUUCUCCUUUUCCUUUCAGUCCCUUCUUUCUCCAUUUCUUCUCUUUAUUACAAGACUAUCUCUGUGUGGCCUUUUCAAAUGAAUCUAACAUCAUGGUCACAUAUAUACUUCCUUGAUGGCAAGGGUCAGAGUGGUACUUAUAUCUUCAAAAAGGGAGCCAUGUGGGUUGUCGUGGUUGGAAAGGAGGUCAGUAGAUAGAUUCAAGGGAGUUGGGGGCCUUAGUUGAGUAGGCAAACAAAAAAAAGGUAACAAGGAUAUUGUUGGUUGCUUUAAGAGUGGAGUCAUGCGUCGUCCUAAGGCUCUGAGACUCAAUGUACUAUAAGAAAGUUGGUAGUUAGUGAAAUUGAGGUCAAUUCAUUUUACUAGAUUUGGACAUGCAACUCUGCAACCAUGGCUG